GACGAACCGUGCGAACGUUGUUCGGAAUCACUGGGCUUAAAGGGUGCGUAGGCGGGUUGUCCAGUCUGGGGUGAAAUCCCACGGCUCAACCGUGGAACUGCCUCAGAUACUGACGACCUCGAGGGAGGUAGGGGCGAGCGGAACUGUGGGUGGAGCGGUGAAAUGCGUUGAUAUCCACAGGAACUCCGGUGGCGAAGGUGGCUCGCUGGACCUCUUAUGACGCUGAGGCACGAAAGCUAGGGGAGCAAACGGG
rnacentral:rRNA from 1 species